rnacentral:rRNA from 1 species
CAAAAGCGUAUACUAAAGUUGUUGCGGUUAAAAAGCUCGUAGUUGGAUCUUUGACCAUCAAGAGCGGUAGCCCUUUGGGUCUAACUGCUUCUUGUGGUCUCCUUGCUGGUCUUUCCUUGGUGCUCUUAACUGAGUGCCUUGGUUGGCUAGUGCUUUUACUUUGAAAAAAUUAGAGUGCUCAAAGCAGGCGUUUGCCUGAAUAGUGGUGCAUGGAAUAAUGGAAUAGGACCUCGGUUCUAUUUUGUUGGUUUUCGGAGCUCGAGGUAAUGAUUAAGAGGGACAAACGGGGGCAUUCGUACUGCUACGUUAGAGGUGAAAUUCUUGGAUCGUAGCAUGACGAACAACUGCGAAAGCAUUUGCCAAGAAUGUUUUCAUUAA